rnacentral:rRNA from 1 species
UACGGGGGGGGCAAGCGUUGUUCGGAAUUACUGGGCGUAAAGGGCUCGUAGGCGGCCAACUAAGUCAGACGUGAAAUCCCUCGGCUUAACCGGGGAACUGCGUCUGAUACUGGAUGGCUUGAGGUUGGGAGAGGGAUGCGGAAUUCCAGGUGUAGCGGUGAAAUGCGUAGAUAUCUGGAGGAACACCGGUGGCGAAGGCGGGUUGCUGGGCUGACACUGACGCUGAUGCGCGAAAGCCAGGGGAGCGAACGGG